rnacentral:rRNA from 1 species
GACGAACGCUGGCGGCGUGCUUAACACAUGCAAGUCGAACGAUGAACCGGAGCUUGCUCCGGGGAUUAGUGGCGAACGGGUGAGUAACACGUGGGCAACCUGCCCCAGACACCGGGAUAACCUUCCGAAAGGAUGGCUAAUACCGGAUAUGACCACUUCGGGCAUCCGACGGUGGUGGAAAGGAUUCUGGUCUGGGAUGGGCCCGCGGCCUAUCAGCUUGUUGGUGGGGUAAUGGCCUACCAAGGCGACGACGGGUAGCCGGCCUGAGAGGGCGACCGGCCACACUGGGACUGAGACACGGCCCAGACUCCUACGGGAGGCAGCAGUGGGGAAUAUUGCGCAAUGGGCGAAAGCCUGACGCAGCGACGCCGCGUGAGGGACGAAGGUCUUCGGAUUGUAAACCUCUUUCAGCAGGGACGAAGCGAAAGUGACUGUACCUGCAGAAGAAGCACCGGCUAACUACGUGCCAGCAGCCGCGGU